rnacentral:sRNA from 1 species
AAUUUCUUGUCAGCCAAAGACAGCAAGUGGAACUUUCCUUAAUUUCUUGCCGAGGUGAAACUAAAUGUUGAAUUUUCAACCCUUAUGUUUUUGACUGCAUAAGGGUUUUUUAUUUGU